UUGGGCCUGCUCGGUGAAUAAGUUUUAACAGCUGCGGUAUUUUAACUGUACUAAGGUAGCAUAAUAAUUUGCCUUAUAAUUUGAGGCUAGAAUGAAUGGUUUGACGAAGGUUAAGCUGUCUCCAUCUUAUUUUUUAGAAUUUAAUUUUUAUAGUGAAAAAGCUUAAAUUUUUUAAAGGGACGAGAAGACCCUAAUGAGCUUAUAAUUUUAUUGUUAUGGUUUAAUAUAUUUAAAUGAUAAUAUAUAAAUUUUAAUUGGGGUGAUUAAGGAAUAAAUUAUGAUUAAUAACUUCCUUAGGUUAAAUAUAUAUUGAUUAAGUAACCAAUAAAUAUAUUGCUUAUAAUAUAGUUACCAUAGGGAUAACAGCGUAAUUUGUUUAGAGAGUUCUUAUUGAAAAACAAGAUUGCGACCUCGAUGUUGGAUUAAAGUAACCUUAAGGUGCAGAAGCUUUAUUA
rnacentral:rRNA from 1 species